rnacentral:rRNA from 1 species
UACGGAGGGUGCAAGCGUUAUCCGGAUUUACUGGGUUUAAAGGGUGCGUAGGUGGGUUGGUAAGUCAGUGGUGAAAUCUCCAGGCUUAACUUGGAAACUGCCAUUGAUACUAUCAAUCUUGAAUACCGUGGAGGUCAGCGGAAUAUGUCAUGUAGCGGUGAAAUGCUUAGAUAUGACAUAGAACACCAAUUGCGAAGGCAGCUGGCUACACGAAUAUUGACACUGAUGCACGAAAGCGUGGGGAGCAAACAGG